GGAUAAAAGGUACUCCGGGGAUAACAGGCUGAUACCGCCCAAGAGUUCAUAUCGACGGCGGUGUUUGGCACCUCGAUGUCGGCUCAUCACAUCCUGGGGCUGAAGUAGGUCCCAAGGGUAUGGCUGUUCGCCAUUUAAAGUGGUACGCGAGCUGGGUUUAGAACGUCGUGAGACAGUUCGGUCCCUAUCUGCCGUGGGCGCUGGAGAAUUGAGGGGGGCUGCUCCUAGUACGAGAGGACCGGAGUGGACGCAUCACUGGUGUUCGGGUUGUCAUGCCAAUGGCACUGCCCGGUAGCUAAAUGCGGAAGAGAUAAGUGCUGAAAGCAUCUAAGCACGAAACUUGCCCCGAGAUGAGUUCUCCCUGAGACUU
rnacentral:rRNA from 1 species